GAGGAACAGAGGUUCUGCUCUCGUGCAUUUUUCUAUAGUACAAAAGCAGCGUCCGAUUGACGCUUUUUGUACGGGCUUGAAAGCUCUACGGCCUUCGCUGGCCCAGUUACGUUCCACGAAGUGCCAUUCCGGACCGUGCGGGCCCGCCAUUACGGUAGCCAAACGGGGAAAGAGGCAAUCCGACCUGCCGAGAGUCUUCGAGGGAAGGUUUCAUUUCGUCACGGUGGUUGAGUAGUCCCGCAGGCGAGAACCAGUUGGAGGCACGUUGGCCUUCCGGACGAGAGGAGACGGUAGAGUAUCGGUCCAUCAGCCGCAGCCCAUCCCCGCAACGUUGUUUCGGCCCAUCACGCACGUGUGCCCCUCCCGACGACGCUUCUGUCGAGGAGCCCUGGUGA